AGCGAACGCUGGCGGCAGGCCUAACACAUACAAGUCGAACGAACCCUUCGGGGUUAGUGGCGGACGGGUGAGUAACACGUGGGAACGUGCCUUUAGGCUCGGAAUAACUCAGGGAAACUUGUGCUAAUACCGAAUGUGCCCUUCGGGGGAAAGAUUUAUCGCCUUUAGAGCGGCCCGCGUCUGAUUAGCUAGUUGGUGAGGUAAUGGCUCACCAAGGCGACGAUCAGUAGCUGGUCUGAGAGGAUGACCAGCCACAUUGGGACUGAGACACGGCCCAAACUCCUACGGGAGGCAGCAGUGGGGAAUCUUGCGCAAUGGGCGAAAGCCUGACGCAGCCAUGCCGCGUGAAUGAUGAAGGUCUUAGGAUUGUAAAAUUCUUUCACCGGGGACGAUAAUGACGGUACCCGGAGAAGAAGCCCCGGCUAACUUCGUGCCAGCAGCCGCCGUAAAAC
rnacentral:rRNA from 1 species